UACGUAGGGCGCAAGCGUUGUCCGGAAUUAUUGGGCGUAAAGAGCUCGUAGGCGGUUUGUUGCGUCGGCUGUGAAAUCCCGAGGCUCAACCUCGGGUCUGCAGUCGAUACGAGCAAACUAGAGUGUUGCAGGGGAGACUGGAAUUCCUGGUGUGGCGGUGAAAUGCGCAGAUAUCAGGAGGAACACCGGUGGCGAAGGCGGGUCUCUGGGCAACAACUGACGCUGAGGAGCGAAAGCGUGGGGAGCGAACAGG
rnacentral:rRNA from 1 species